rnacentral:rRNA from 1 species
GGGGGGAGCGAGCGUUGUUCGGAAUCACUGGGCGUAAAGGGCGCGUAGGCGGCCGGAUAAGUCGUGUGUGAAAGACCGGGGCUCAACUCCGUGUAUUGCAUGCGAUACUGCCCGGCUAGAGUAAGGUAGAGGCGAGUGGAAUUCCCGGUGUAGCGGUGGAAUGCGUAGAUAUCGGGAAGAACACCUGUGGCGAAGGCGGCUCGCUGGGCCUUUUCUGACGCUGAAGCGCGAAAGCGUGGGGAGCAAACAGGGAUUAGAUACCCUGGUAGUCCACGCCGUAAACGAUGGGCACUAGGCGUUGGGAGGAUUGACCCCCUCUCAGUGCCGUAGCUAACGCGUUAAGUGCCCCGCCUGGGGAGUACGGCCGCAAGGCUG